AGAGCUGGGGUAGGGAACCUUUGGUCCUCCAGAUGUUGCAGAACUUUGUGUAGUUCAACAACAUCUGGAGGGCCAACUGUUCCCUGCACCUUCUCU